GCUAAGUUGCGUGAAGAUGCAUGUAACGCAGAUAAUUAAAGACAUUUUGAAGGAGCGAGAUGCUCUGCGCCGCCAUAUGAAUUUGGUUUGCGCAAUUUUAGGUAAUAGUUUAAGAAUUGAAUUCCCGCAUAGCAAUAUACAGUCUGUCUUAAGUUCCAAACAGUAAAUGUCAUCUAUUUGUUGAGGUUAUCCUAUCACAUACAGUUGCUUUUAGGUUGAGCAAUAUAAAGUCAGAUGCAUCAUACUAUGUAGAACAGUAUUAGUAAUUCAUACCAAUCAGUAACAAUAUAUUAUAGUGUUUACACAUUGUCAAAUGAUAUGGCCAUGAAAACUCAUCAUACACCAUUUUACUGUGAGAUCACCUUUUGUGAAACUGUUGCAUCUUCUAUUUGCGAAACACACUUCUACAUAAACGUUUCGCAACGUUGAACCUUUACUCAACCAUUUGUCAAGUAGUGCCGCACAUCAGUAUUUGUGAGCGAUGAUUAUUUUCAUAUCGACUUUCCCACAUGCACCCUCGCUCUGACAGUACCGAAAAAUCGUUUUGUUUUGUUAACUCGAGAGCUGAUUUUGUCGCGAUGAUUAAGCUAAUUUAAUCGGCGGAAAAUUAAAAACCAUCGGGAAAUUAUCGUUAAACAUGAAGCCCCACCAGCAACAAGAGUUUGCAAAAUUUGACCCGGUCUGCGGAAUUUUUAUAUGCCGCCGGAUGGCAAAUAAAAAGGGAUGGCUUGAAGUGAGCCUGCGGUUCGACAAGUUCGGAAUAACGUCACGGAACACACUUUCCAAUAAAAUUAUUGACGGUUUCCCCCCUUAUCGAACGCGACGAUUUGAAUCCGUCGCGAAUGAAACCGUCGCCAGAGUCGUCGUAGCCAAUCAGCAGGCGGGAGUCUGGCGUUUCUCCGAUCUCACUAACACAAACAGCAGCAGAGGUGGUCUUCUUCUUCUUCUUUUGUUGGGUUCGAGGGACUUUAACCCGAAGGUCAUUCGUCCCUCCAAGCAGAGGUGGUGCUUGAUUCGUUGCGAUGAUUCAGAAUUGCCGCCUGGAAGUUGGCAGCGCGUUUUGUUAUGAAAGCAACAUACAAUACUGCGGGAAGCAUUUGAUCCGGAUAAUGGAUAUGCCGACUAUUUGAGGAAAGCGGACCAGCAGUUCAGUUUUCGCUGAUUCUUGCCGAUUCGAAGGGUAUACGUCAGGCCACUGUUGGACGUGGAAGAAUACGAGGAGAACCUCCUGUAUCUAGGAUCUCGACUCCCUGAUGAUACGUUUGCCGCUGUGAAAGUAAUUUUAGAUGGAUAAGCUCUUUAGUUUACUUUAAUUAAAUGAUUUAGAUGUAAAUUAGACUUUGAUUGUACAAUUUUAAUGCUUUUAAUGAAAUGAUUUUUGCCAACAA